CUGUGGGGCCCAACUCGCCCUUUGGAAAGAAGCCUGCACGUUGUGCCUUUCAGCUCUAGGGCAAUGUAGCACACCCAGAGCAGAAGUCCUACUUCAGCCAGAUCAGGCCUGCAAAGAAACUGCGUUUCACAGGCCUUUUGACAGAUGUUCCCACUAGGCUGUAAGAGCACUGUGCAGAGCGAGUUGUUUCUUAGCUUCCCAAAGAGCUGGAAGCAAGAUGCUGUGGGGCCCAACUCGCCCUUUGGAAAGAAGCCUGCACGUUGUGCCUUUCAGCUCUAGGGCAAAGUAGCACACCCAGAGCAGAAGUCCUACUUCAGCCAGAUCAGGCCUGCAAAGAAGCUGCGUUUCACAGGCCUUUGGAAGAGAUGUUCCCGGUAGGCUGUAAGAGCACUGUGCAGAGCGAGUUGUUUCUUAGCUUCCCAAAGAGCUGGAAGCAAGAUGCUGUGGGGCCCAACUCGCCCUUUGGAAAGAAGCCUGCACGUUGUGCCUUUCAGCUCUAGGGCAAUGUAGCACACCCAGAGCAGAAGUCCUACUUCAGCCAGAUCAGGCCUGCAAAGAAACUGCGUUUCACAGGCCUUUGGACGAGAUGUUCCCGGUAGGCUGUAAGAGCACUGUGCAGCGCGAGUUGUUUCUUAGCUUCCCAAAGAGCUGGAAGCAAGAUGCUGUGGGGCCCAACUCGCCUUUUGGAAAGAAGCUUGCACGUUGUGCCUUUCAGCUCUAGGGCAAAGUAGCACACCCAGAGCAGAAGUCCUACUUCAGCCAGAUCAGGCCUGCAAAGAAACUGCGUUUCACAGGCCUUUGGAAGAGAUGUUCCCACUAGGCUGUAAGAGCACUGUGUAGAGCGAGUUGUUUCUUAGCUUCCCAAAGAGCUGGAAGCAAGAUGCUGUGGAGCCCAACUCGCCCUUUGGACAGAAGCCUGCAUGGUGUGCCUUUCAGCUCUAGGGCAAAGUAGCACACCCAGAGCAGAAGUCCUACUUCAGCCAGAUCAGGCCUGCAAAGAAACUGCGUUUCACAGGCCUUUGGAAGAGAUGUUCCCGGUAGGCUGUAAGAGCACUGUGCAGAGCGAGUUGUUUCUUAGCUUCUCAAAGAGCUGGAAGCAAGAUCGUGUGUGGCCCAACUCGCCCUUUGGAAAGAAGCCUGCACGUUGUGCCUUUCAGCUCUAGGGCAAAGUAGCACACCCAGAGCAGAAGUCCUACUUCAGCCAGAUCAGGCCUGCAAAGAAACUGCGUUUCACAGGCCUUUGGCAGAGAUGUUCCCGGUAGGCUGUAAGAGCACUGUGCAGAGCGAGUUGUUUCUUAGCUUCUCAAAGAGCUGGAAGCAAGAUGCUGUGGGGCCCAACUCGCUCUUUGGAAAGAAGCCUGCACGGUGUGCCUUUCAGCUCUAGGACAAAGUAGAACACCCAGAGCAGAAGUCCUACUUUAGCCAGAUCCGGCCUGCAAAGAAACUGCGUUUCACAGGCCUUUGGAGAGAUAUUCCCGGUAGGCUGUAAGAGCACUGUGCAGAGCGAGUUGUUUCUUAGCUUCCCAAAGAGCUGGAAGCAAGAUGCUGUGGGGCCCAACUCGACCCUUGGAAAGAAGCCUGCACGUUGUGCCUUUCAGCUCUAGGGCAAUGGAGCACCACCCAGAGCAGAAGUCCUACUUCAGCCAGAUCAGGCCUGCAAAGAAACUGCGUUUCACAGGCCUUUGGAAGAGAUGUUCCCACUAGGCUGUAAGAGCACUGAGCAGAGCGAGUUGUUUCUUAGCUUCCCAAAGAGCUGGAAGCAAGAUGCUGUGGGGCCCAACUCGCCCUUUGGAAAGAAGCCUGCACAUUGUUCCUUUCAGCUCUAGGGCAAUGUAGCACACCCAGAGCAGAAGUCCUACUUCAGGCAGAUCAGGCCUGCAAAGAAACUGCGUUUCACAGGCCUUUGGAAGAGAUGUUCCCACUAGGCUGUAAGAGCACUGAGCAGAGCGAGUUGUUUCUUAGCUUCCCAAAGAGCUGGAAGCAAGAUGCUGUGGGGCACAACUCGCCCUUUGGAAAGAAGCCUGCACGGUGUUCCUUUCAGCUCUAGGGCAAUGUAGCACUCCCAGAGCAGAAGUCCUACUUCAGCCAGAUCAGGCCUGCAAAGAAACUUCGUUUCACAGGCCUUUGGAAGAGAUGUUCCCGGUAGGCUGUAAGAGCACUGUGCAGAGCGAGUUGUUUCUUAGCUUCCCAAAGAGCUGGAGGAAGAUGCUGUGGGGCCCAAAUCGCCCUUUGGAAAGAAGCCUGCAUGGUGUGCCUUUCAGCUCUAGGGCAAUGUAGCACACCCAGAGCAGAAGUCCUACUUCAGCCAGAUCAGGCCUGCAAAGAAACUGCGUUUCACUGGCCUUUGGAAGAGAUGUUCCCACUAGGCUGUAAGAGCACUGUGCAGAGCGUGUUCUUUCUUAGCUUCCCAAAGAGCUGGAAGCAAGAUGCUGUGGGGCCCAACUCGCCCUUUGGAAAGAAGCCUGCACGGUGUGCCUUUCAGCUCUAGGGCAAAGUAGCACACCCAGAGCAGAAGUCCUACUUCAGCCAGAUCAGGCCUGCAAAGAAACUGCGUUUCACAGGCCUUUGGAAGAGGUGUUCCCGGUAGGCUGUAAGAGCACUGAGCAGAGCGAGUUGUUUCUUAGCUUCCCAAAGAGCUGGAAGCAAGAUGCUGUGGGGCCCAACUCGCCCUUUGGAAAGAAGCCUGCACGUUGUGCCUUUCAGCUCUAGGGCAAAGUAGCACACCCAGAGCAGAAGUCCUACUUCAGCCUGAUCAGGCCUGCAAAGAAACUGCGGAGACCCCCAAGGCCCAAGGCCCCCACCCCCACCACCACAGAUCACUGUGGAAGCCUUAACGACCCAAGGCUCCAGCUACAUACACACGCUCUUAGGAGGCAAGAUACACCAAGGGCUUAUGUGGGUUGCCACUUUUGGUGGUUGUUUCCGUGGCGUGUGAGUUUUGGAACCCGCCACGCCAUUUUUCACAGAGGCCAUACCGUUUCCCUUCACCACCAGUGAGGCGUGAGUGACUGACUUGGCUUCUCCGCGACCUCACUAGCAGUUUGAUCCUGUUCCUGUAUUUGGAAGAAGGCAGUCUCACCCAUGUGUCCCCACAAUGUCUCCCUCUAAUUUUCUCACUUGCUUUUCCAGGGAACAGCUCACAUCUUUUCAUGCGCUUAUCGGUCAUCCAUGCGUACCUCCUCCUCCCCAGGUGAAAGUGCCUGCUCUGUCUAUUGGUCUUCCAUUGUAUUUGUAUUUUUCAGUGUUGAUUUCCCCCGGGUCUCCACUCCAUUGUGGGUUUUGUUUUUUGUUUUUUGUUUUUUUGUUUUUUUUGCUUAAAGAUUGCCACCUGAGCCAGCCCCUGUUGCCCAUCUU
rnacentral:lncRNA from 1 species